rnacentral:rRNA from 1 species
AUUAGUGAGAAUAAUAACCCUUUAUUAUAGCACGUUUUAAUAUAGAUAGUUCUUUUAAGUUUCUGCCCCAUCAGCUUUUGAUGGUAGUGUAUUGGGGUCCCAUGGCAGUAACGGGUAACGAAGAAUUUGGGUUCGAUUUCGGAGAGGGAGCCCGAGAGAUGGGUACCACAUCCAAGGAAGGCAGCAGGCGCGUAAAUUACCCAAUCCCGACACAGGGAGGUAGUGACAAUAAAUCACAAUGCGGGACUAUUUAGUUUUGCAAUUGGAUUGAGAACAAUGUACAAGAGUUAUCGAUAAACAAUUGGAGGGCAAGUCUGGUGCCAGC